CACUUCUCCAGCUUUAACUGCCAGAAUUGUGUUGGUCUUCACGUCUUGAGCAUCCACUACUUCGCCUGUUUCCGCUAGAAUGGCCUUUUGUGGUGCCAUCCUCAUCAGCGUUGACAUCCCAGCGGUGGCCUGGAGGUAACUUAGGUUCAAACAAGUUUCAUAAGUUCCUUUGGCAGGCUCAUAUAUUGUUCAGUGAUGACACAGGAAGCAUUUUGUGGAGUUUGCUGCUCUACCUGCAACCAGCAGCAAAAUGUUGGUGUCGAGAGUGCAUGUUCGAAUGGCCGCAACGCUUCUCAGCACAAUCGGCGGCAGGCCAGCCACCACGGCAGCAAUUGCCAGCCAUUUCAGCGGGUGGAAGAAGUGUUUGAACAUGGAAGCUGAGAGCAGCAAUCCAGAGGCCAGUAUGUAUGGACUUGGCCAUUUCUUGACGAUUGCAUCAGUUCCAUAUGCUCGAACGGUAGCUUCAAGCCUCGCCUGGUUCAAUGCCUUAACUGAUGAAGCCAAGAGAAUAGAGUGUAAAGAAACUUUGAUAGAUCCUUCUGCAGCAGUUUGAUUGAGGUCAGUGGUCCUAAAGAUAUGCCUACUUACCGAUCUGAAGCUGCGAGAUAAUGAGGUUGUCAUGGAUUACAAUGACCAUCUUCGAUGGAACGAUGACUGAAACUUUCUGAAUCCCAUCCAAUGAGCUCAAGAUGUUCUCGAUCAGCGGGACCU